UACGUAGGGUGCAAGCGUUGUCCGGAAUUAUUGGGCGUAAAGAGCUCGUAGGCGGUCUGUCACGUCGGCUGUGAAAUCCCGAGGCUCAACCUCGGGCCUGCAGUCGAUACGGGCAGACUAGAGUUCGGUAGGGGAGACUGGAAUUCCUGGUGUAGCGGUGAAAUGCGUUGAUAUCAGGAGGAACACCCAUGGCGAAGGCAGCUUACUGGGCAUUAUCUGACGCUGAGACGCGAAAGCGUGGGUAGCAAACAGG
rnacentral:rRNA from 1 species